UACGUAGGGUCCGAGCGUUGUCCGGAAUUACUGGGCGUAAAGAGCUCGUAGGUGGUUUGUCGCGUUGUUCGUGAAAACUCACAGCUCAACUGUGGGCGUGCGGGCGAUACGGGCAGACUGGAGUACUGCAGGGGAGACUGGAAUUCCUGGUGUAGCGGUGAAAUGCGCAGAUAUCGAGAGGAACACCAGUGGCGAAGGCGAGUCUCUGGACGACUCCUGACACUGAGGCACGAAAGCUAGGGGAGCAAACAGG
rnacentral:rRNA from 1 species